CCUACGGGCGGCAGCAGUGAGGAAUAUUGGUCAAUGGCCGGAAGGCUGAACCAGCCAAGCCGCGUGAGGGACGAAGGUGCUAUGCAUUGUAAACUUCUUUUGUCAUGGGACAAAAUCAGCCUCGAGAGCCUGUUAGAGGGUACUUGAAGAAAAAGCAUCGGCUAAUUCCGUGCCAGCAGCCGCGGAAAGACGGAGGAUGCGAGUGUUAUCCGGAUUUAUUGGGUUUAAAGGGUGCGUAGGCGGACUUUUCAGUCAGCGGUAAAAGCCCGGGGCUCAACCCCGGCGAGCCGUUGAAACUGGCUGUCUUGAGAUGUCGAGAGGUAUGCGGAAUGCGUAGUGUAGCGGUGAAAUGCGUAGAUAUUGCGCAGAACACCGAUUGCGAAGGCAGCAUACCGGCGGCGAUCUGACGCUGAGGCACGAAAGCGUGGGUAUCGAACAGGAUUAGAUACCCUGGUAGUC
rnacentral:rRNA from 1 species